GUGUCAGCCGCCGCGGUAAUACGGAGGAUGCAAGCGUUAUCCGGAUUCAUUGGGUUUAAAGGGUGCGCAGGCGGAUUGAUAAGUCAGGGGUGAAAUCCCACAGCUCAACUGUGGAACUGCCCUUGAUACUGUUAGUCUAGAGUAUAGUUGAAGUGGGCGGAAUGUGUCAUGUAGCGGUGAAAUGCUUAGAUAUGACACAGAACACCGAUCGCGAAGGCAGCUCGCUAAGCUAUAACUGACGCUCAAGCACGAAAGCGUGGGGAUCAAACAGGAUUAGAUACCCUGGUAGUCCACGCCGUAA
rnacentral:rRNA from 1 species